AUUGAACGCUGGCGGCAUGCUUUACACAUGCAAGUCGAACGGCAGCGCGGGCUUCGGCCUGGCGGCGAGUGGUGAACGGGUGAGUAAUGCAUCGGAACGUGCCCAGUAGUGGGGGAUAGCCCGGCGAAAGCCGGAUUAAUACCGCAUACGACCUGAGGGUGAAAGCGGGGGACCGAAAGGCCUCGCGCUAUUGGAGCGGCCGAUGUCGGAUUAGCUAGUUGGUGGGGUAAAGGCUUACCAAGGCGACGAUCCGUAGCUGGUCUGAGAGGACGACCAGCCACACUGGGACUGAGACACGGCCCAGACUCCUACGGGAGGCAGCAGUGGGGAAUUUUGGACAAAGGGGGCAACCCUGAUCCAGCCAUGCCGCGUGCGGGAAGAAGGCCUUCGGGUUGUAAACCGCUUUUGUUCGGGAAGAAAUCCUCUGGGCUAAUACCCCGGGGGGAUGACGGUACCGGAAGAAUAAGCACCGGCUAACUACGUG
rnacentral:rRNA from 1 species